rnacentral:rRNA from 1 species
GCUUAACGCGAAGAACCUUACCAGCCCUUGACAUGGGAAGUAUGGACUUGAGAGAUCAGGUUCUUCAGUUCGGCUGGCUUCCACACAGGUGCUGCAUGGCUGUCGUCAGCUCGUGUCGUGAGAUGCUGGGUUAAGUCCCGCAACGAGCGCAACCCUCGCCUUCAGUUGCCAUCACUUCUAGGUGGGCACUCUGAAGGAACUGCCGGUGACAAGCCGGAGGAAGGUGGGGAUGACGUCAAGUCCUCAUGGCCCUUACGGGCUGGGCUACACACGUGCUACAAUGGCGACUACAAUGGGAAGCGAAGGAGCGAUCCGGAGCCAAUCCACAAAAGUCGUCUCGGUUCGGAUUGCAGUCUGCAACUCGGCUGCAUGAAGCUGGAAUCGCUAGUAACGGUAGGUCAGUAUACUACCGUGAAUACGUUCCCGGGUCUUGUACACACCG